ACACACACACACUGGACGGAUGGAAGGAGAGCCAUCCAUCCAUCCAUCUUCUUCCGCUUAUCCGAGGUCGGGUCGCGGGGGCAACAGCCUAAGCAGGUGCACCGACUCAUCAGAUGUGAAGCUCCUUGUCAGCAUGUCAAAGCAGACCACUUGGGAUAGCGCUAUCCAAAGGGAGACUGAGAGCAGCAAGUGUCAGUUAUCCGAGGAGAGGCUGAGGGCAGCAAUGAAAUCGACAACUACAGAAAAGUGAAGACGGAGUAAAAUACUGCAAUAUUUACUUCUCAAUAUGUUGGCCAUUGUAAG